rnacentral:lncRNA from 10 species
AGAAUCAAAGAAUUCCAUCGGACAUGGUGUUUCUUAGGACUUCAGAAAAAGCAGGUUCGUGUUUUAUUCGAACUGAUCAACUAGAUGGUGAAACUGACUGGAAGCUGAAGGUGGCAGUGAGCUGCACGCAACAGCUGCCGGCUCUGGGGGACCUUUUUUCUAUCAGUGCUUAUGUUUAUGCUCAGAAACCACAAAUGGACAUUCACAGUUUCGAAGGCACAUUUACCAGGUCGGAAAUGUUCGCUAGACAAUGUGUGGAAGUACAAGGAAGUCGGAGAGCAAGUGCAGGUUGGCUGAAAAACCUGGUUCAAACGGGAGCGUAUGGCUCAGUCUGCAGGUGUGACAAGGGCUGGGGCGUAUUGGACUAGAAAGGUAUCAGUGGCUUGACCGGAGGAAGCCAUUGAAGGAUCUUUAGCUUAGAAGAGAAAUGAUAAAUACAGAUGUUUUAAAAAG